ACGCUCGACACCUACGGGAGGCAGCAGUGGGAAUAUUGCACAAUGGGGGAAACCCUGAUGCAGCAACGCCGCGUGAAGGAAGACGGUUUUCGGAUUGUAAACUUCUGUUCUUAGUGAAGAUAGUGACGGUAGCUAAGGAGCAAGCCACGGCUAACUACGUGCCAACAGCCGCGGUAAUCUGAGCGGGCUGGCAAGGC
rnacentral:rRNA from 1 species